GUUCUUAGCCUGUGAAUCAAGUUUGUGCUCAUCCUUGGUGAUUGUAGUACCUGAUGAUCGUCGUGUUGAAUCGUUGUUGUUGCUGUUGUUGUUCCUUGUUCUUGCUAAUCGAAGCUCAAGUUCAAGAGCUUGUAUGAGUGAGAUAUCGUCUCCCAAAGUUGGUCAUGCGCGUCUGCACGCUGCUGACUUUUAGAGAAGAUGAUGAACAGUAACCGAGUUAAAUCGGCGAGUCAACUCGGUAACGGACCGACGAUUCAACUCGCGGUUCGGUCAAGUGGGUCAGCGCGCGGUUCGGUCCAGUGGGUCAGAUCGCGGUUCAGUCCAGUGGGUCAGCUCGCGGUUCGGUCUAGCUAGGUUCGAUUCGCGGUCUAGACCGGGUUUUUUUUGUUUUUCCUUUUGUUUCUCUAUUUGUGGUUGUCGGAUCAACUCCAAUUUUGGUAUGCUAAGGUUUUUCGACAUUCUGGAUUCAAUAAAACUAUUUUCAGAA